AUUGAACGCUGGCGGCAUGCUUUACACAUGCAAGUCGAACGGUAACAGGGUGCUUGCACCGCUGACGAGUGGCGAACGGGUGAGUAAUGCGUCGGAACGUGCCGAGUAGUGGGGGAUAACGCAGCGAAAGUUGUGCUGAUACCGCAUACGUACUGAGGUAGAAAGUGGGGGACCUUCGGGCCUCACGCUAUUCGAGCGGCCGACGUCUGAUUAGCUAGUAGGUGAGGUAAAGGCUCACCUAGGCGACGAUCAGUAGCGGGUCUGAGAGGAUGAUCCGCCACACGGGGACUGAGACACGGCCCAGACUCCUACGGGAGGCAGCAGUGGGGAAUUUUGGACAAUGGGCGAAAGCCUGAUCCAGCCAUGCCGCGUGUCUGAAGAAGGCCUUCGGGUUGUAAAGGACUUUUGUCAGGGAGGAAAUCCCUAGUGCUAAUAACACUGGGGGAUGACAGUACCUGAAGAAUAAGCACCGGCUAACUACGUGCCAGCAGCCGCCGUAA
rnacentral:rRNA from 1 species